AUCCUGGCUCAGAAUGAACGCUAGCUACAGGCUUAACACAUGCAAGUCGAGGGGCAUCAGGAAGAAAGCUUGCUUUCUUUGCUGGCGACCGGCGCACGGGUGGGUAACACGUAUCCAACCUGCCCUUUACUCGGGGAUAGCCUUUCGAAAGAAAGAUUAAUACCCGAUGGCAUAAUGAUUCCGCAUGGUUUCAUUAUUAAAGGAUUCCGGUAAAGGAUGGGGAUGCGUUCCAUUAGGUUGUUGGUGAGGUAACGG
rnacentral:rRNA from 1 species